GAAACACACACGCCGCGGUGUGUGUGUAUAUAUAUAUAUAUAUAUAUUUAUAUAUAUAUAUAUAUAUAUAUAUAUAUAUAUAUAUAUAUACACACAUACAUACACACACACAUACUGCUGUGUGUGAGGGUG